AUGGAGUUGGCUCUAGCUCUUGAAAAGAUGGUGAACGAGAAGCUGCCCAACCUGCUCAUUCCGUCUCAGAUGGAGUCCCAGGGGAAGGACCAAAAGGAGGUGCCCGCAGGUUUAAUAUUUGAUGUCCUCUAUUUGGUAAUGAGAGCAAUGCAAUAUUCUGAAGGGGCACACAUGAUUGGCAUCACUAAUAAUGCGAAGCCAUAUAUCCUCGCAAGUAAGGGAUGUGGACCUAUGUGUAAGGAGUGCGGAGGUCACAGUUUGAUUUUGUGGUUCCGUGGCGCAGAUGACAAGGCCGAGAAGGAGCACCUCCUGGCGCUGGCCGGCGGCGACGAGGCCCGUGUCCACUUCUUCCCGUGUGACCUCCUCGGCGGCGCCACCAUGCUCACCGCCGCGCGUGGCUGCUCCGGCAUCUUCCACCUCGCCUCGCCCUGCAUCAUCAACCGCAUCCUCUGUCAAUUGUACGAAAAGCGCUUGGGUUUCUUGAGAGGCUCAAGUAGUAGGGCUUCGAGCUUGAUAUCCGGCGAGUCCACAAACAUAGUUUGUCGAACCAGCUACCCCUUACUCAUGUCGUAUGUCUUAAACCAACUUCACAUGACCAAGUUCCUCAACCCGGCCGACCCUUGCAGACAUGUUUGUGCAGUGGCUCAGCUCAUUACCUAG
rnacentral:rRNA from 1 species